GAGUUUUGAUCAUGGCUCAGGAUGAACGCUAGCUACAGGCUUAACACAUGCAAGUCGAGGGGCAGCAUGGGUCUUAGUUUGCUAAAGGCCGAUGGUCGACCGGCGCACGGGUGAGUAACACGUAUCCAACCUGCCGUCUACUCUUGGACAGCCUUCUGAAGGAAGAUUAAUACAACGAUGGCAUCAUGAGUCCGCAUGCUCACAUGAUUAAAGGUAUUCCGGUAGACGAGUGGGGAUGCGUUCCAUUAGAUAGUAGGCGGGGUAACGGCCCACCUAGUCUUCGAUGGAUAGGGGUUCUGAGAGGAAGGUCCCCCACAUUGGAACUGAGACACGGUCCAAACUCCUACGGGAGGCUGCA
rnacentral:rRNA from 1 species